rnacentral:rRNA from 1 species
CACGUAGGGUGCGAGCGUUGUCCGGAAUCAUUGGGCGUAAAGAGCGUGUAGGCGGCCCGGUAAGUCCGCUGUGAAAGUCAGGGGCUCAACCCUCGGAUGCCGGUGGAUACUGUCGGGCUCGAGUACGGAAGAGGCGAGUGGAAUUCCUGGUGUAGCGGUGAAAUGCGCAGAUAUCAGGAGGAACACCUAUUGCGAAGGCAGCUCGCUGGGACGUUACUGACGCUGAGGAGCGAAAGCGUGGGGAGCGAACAGG